CUUUUCCCCUCAAAAACCCUAACAAAUCCGCCGCCAGGCUGCCGGAUUUCGAGCUCACCGCCGCCGCCAUCUUGAAGAUCCCCGGUAGGCUCGUGAUUUCUCAUCGGAGCUUCGCCGGAGUUUGCGACCUCCAUCCACCCGUCACGGUCAUUCAAGUAUGAGCCAGUUGACUCCGAGGAUACGUACGUGACCACCGCGAGGAGUUGAAGACCGUCCACUACUGCGCCACCUUGGGAGAAUGCCGUAACCGGAACCACCGUCGACGAGCUGCAGUUCAUAUUUCGGCCGAUCGUGCGGAGUGUAACACGAAGAGCGCGAACGCCAACGACAAAUAAGG